UUGCUAGCUAAGAAAAUGGCUCACAGUGGUUUGUCCCUAUGCCUUUAACAGAAGCUAAUCUACAGCCAUUAAAGUCUGGCCCCCUUUUUCUCUAGGCUAUGCAGAUCACCUGUCCUUAUUCCUCUCACUGCUAAUGGCAAAACUACAGAGUUCACAAGUCCAGAAUCUUACAUGAAGCAGCACCAAUUAAUCAGCUCACUGGACCAGGCAGUUAGUACAUUAAAAAUUGUCAGCGAUGCCAAACAGCUUAGAAAAUGUCAAAAACAUAUUCCAGCGGCAGGAGGAGCCUGGAGCCAGCCACGGACAGAGAGAUGCCCGCUCGACAACAGCGGCCAGAGGAAGCAGCAGCUUCCUAACCAGCAACAACAGAUCUCUGCUGAACAUCUAACUUGACCCUUGAAACCAAUCCCAACAUGCAGCAUGCCAAACGACGUGCACGGAGAAGACAGCUUUGAGAACAGUAAAUGCAGCUGGGAGAGCAUUGGCAAAAAAAAUGGAAUCUAAGUUAAACCGACAGAGUGGAUCAGCUAAGAACCUUCUCCUGCCCAGGACAUCUUCAGGCUGAAUCCCAUUUUACUGUUUUAUGCCGACCGCUUCCCUUUCUGUCCUGCAUCUCUAACUUGGGAACACGUACACCAAGAUUUCCAUUUGUCAUUUAUGGUUUAAUAAUAAUCUUAGAAUGGCAGAGCUUGAA